AACCCAUGGUGAGGGCACCUUUUCAAAAGGUUAUUGUAUCUCUUCCAUGCAUCAUAGAGUGUUUCUAAAUCCAUCUGCACAAAAGAAGAAAUAUCAUUAUGUAAUU
rnacentral:snoRNA from 1 species